CUCUCCAGCAGGCACAUGAAGCCCGCUGAUUAACUGCUUUCCGUCCCUGCUUCUAACCGGAAGGAUAAAACGAAGUGAAAGACAAAAUGGCUCCAACGGCUACUAUCGAAACAAUCGCUAUCGUCCGUCCACUUAAGUGCGAGCUUUUGGCAUCGGCGCCGGACAAGGUAGGAGGAGGGCCAGUGCCACCCAGGGCCACCCAGGGCCACCCAGGGCCACGUCUUGUAAG